UUUUUAAGAACUUAAAGCAACUGGUUCUUCUAUCCAUUGUCCUUAUACCUGUAUGUGUGGGCGGAGGCCCAAGAAUCUAUCACUUCAUGGAAUUCACUGAGUGUGCAGGAGUAGGAAUGUCAGAGAGUGGAAGAAGAGAUCAAAUGAAGAGAGGGCAUGGCAUAGAUUUGAUCUUCCAACAGAGAACAGAAGAAAGGUUUCCUAGUAUGGCAGUCCAUUCUGGCAUGGAACUGAGUACCAUGGAAAGGUCAGUUAAGGAAUUCUGAGAGGCCUUGGGCACAGGAAGGAACAGUCAAAGAGAAAUCAGAAGUAGCACCAAAAUUCUAACCUGUAGGACAUAUUUUGAUGUUGGGAGUGGUUGGGGGCUAUAGGUUCAUUAGAACACAGAAGACAAGAUUGAUGGCAUCCACCCAUGAGAAAUGACAGCAGAAAGUGGAACUGCACCUUG
rnacentral:lncRNA from 1 species